CGGUCGGUUCUUCGCACAGAGUGACAGUUGUCAGGAUUAUCCCCAAAAAGUGAUCCGUGAGUGGACAAAACGGUGCCCCUAGUGCUUGGAAGCACCCCCAAAGUGUUCACCAAGUGUCGUCCCGUGUGUGUAAAGUGGGUGCCGCUGUCGGGGAGUGUGGCGAAUGUGCGAAAAGUGAGGUGGAAGAAAUGUUGUGUAACCCAUUGCUGGAGUAGCAGGCGCGCACAUCUUGCGUUUUCUUUCCUUCCCUGCUCUCCGGACUCGAAGUGCUGUGUGGCCGCGAGAGCCCUAUCGCCGCCUGGCUGACUCAGGGGCUUGAUGAGCUGCCCCCGUCCGGUGUGACAAGUGAGACGUGGGAAUAAUGGCUCUGGACGCCCGCAACAACUCGGCCCUGUUCAAGCGGGCCGAGCAGCUGAAGCGCUGGGAAGAGUCGGACACGAACCAGACGCCCGCGGUGGCCAAGCACGCCCACGCGCGCAAGGUGAAAUUCAGCGCCGGAUGCGUCUUCCUGGCCGCGUGCAUGGCCGGUGACAAGGAGGAGGUGCUCCGCCUCCUGGAGCAGGAGAGCGCCGACAUCAACACGUGCAACGUGGACGGACUCACGGCUCUGCACCAAGCAUGCAUUGAUGACAAUUUGGACAUGGUGGAGUUCCUGGUGGAGCACGGAGCAGAUGUGAAUCGUGCCGACAAUGAAGGCUGGACACCUCUUCAUGCCACAGCUUCCUGCGGUUUUGUCAGCAUAGCGCGGUACUUAGUUGAGAGUGGGGCGGAUUUGUCACUAGUAAGCAGCGAUGGUGAGCUGCCAAUUGAUCUGUCUACGUCCAAUAGCAUGGAGGAUCUGCUGCAGAAGCACAUUGACGAGCAGGCGAUUGACUGCGAGGAGGCGCGUUCGCGUGAGGAGCGCAUGAUGUUGACUGAUGCCAAGAAGUGGCUGCGGAGUGACGCAUCUGAGGUGGAUCGUCCUCAUCCGCGGACGGGCGCCACGGCGCUCCACGUGGCCGCGGCCAAAGGGUACACGCGCGUCCUGAGCCUCCUGCUCGCGGGUCGAGCGAAUGUGGACAAGCAGGACAACGACGGGUGGACGCCGCUGCACGCUGCGGCGCAUUGGGGCCAGAAGGAGGCUGCCCAGAUGCUAAUCACGUCGCUGGCUGACAUUGACACGAAGAACUUUGCCGGACAGACGGCGAUUGAUGUGGCUGAUGUGACGCUGGCACGGUAUUUGGAUGAGAUCAGGAAGAAGAAGACCAAGAGGCGACCGGGUAGCCAAACGAGAAUUCAGGACAGCAUGGAUGCGAACAACGAAACACCGCCCAAAGUGAUUCGCGUGGAAGUGAAGCCAGAAUUGAAAGAUGCUCGAUUCACUUUUUUGCACCGAAUCGCCGAGUGUGAUGAUCCAAGUGAUUCGGACUACACAGAAUCAACUGAAAGUACAGCCUCAAGUCUCUCAGAGUCAAUAGAGGAGAAACCGAAGGCGCCCAGUGAGCAAAUUUCCAAUCGUCCGGAAAUUAUUGAGGAGGACUCUAACACAUGGCGCCGACCAGGAAUUGCAGCCACUAAGGCACGAGGACAGCCUGAGAGUCCACAGAAAAAUCAAGUACCAGACAAAGAGGUUCAACCAUCGGACUCUGAAGUGAUAUUGAGACGGACGCAGAGCUUCGAGCAUGAUGAAAAAUUUUAUCAAAAAUAUCGAGAACUUCGUGCAAGAAUCAAAGCAAAUUCCUAUCCGGUCCUUCCGGUAACGCCGACCACGGGCGUUGGCGGGAAUGGACCAAAGACGGGCGGUGUGGAAGGCGGAGGCGGCGGAGAUUGUGGAGGAAAGCCAGGAGUGGUAGUAAAUACAUACUCUGUGCAACGAUCAGCUUCACUCAAAGAUUACAAACAAAUAAGGAAAAAUCCAGUGUCUCCACCGCAGAGCCCAACGACUCAGACAUCAACAACUGCAAGUUCUGCGCCAGUUCGAAGGAAUGAGGAGGAGAAUGUGGCAUCAGGAGUCGAACAGACUAACAGUAAUGCACAAUCAAAUCAGCAAACAACCAAUAAAUUGUCGCCGGGGAAUAUUUUCAAGAACUUCUUCAAGUCAUUUGUGCCGCCAACCAGAGAUGAAGAAAGCGAAACGCAGCGAAAAGCUCAUGCCAAACGUGUUCGGGAGACAAGAAGAUCCACUCAAGGGGUGACUCUUGAUGAGAUAAAGAGCGCCGAGGAGCUUGUGAAGAAGAAGAACCUCAACAACAACAAUACGAGUGCGAAUAAUGAGAAUCCAGCGUCUGUUGCGUCAAAUGAUAGAGUUCCUGCUGGAUCUGGCGAGCAGAAGCCGAGUGGUCAGGCAACUGCGGAUGCCCAGAUCAAGCCGAAUGUGGCAGCUGGUGACGGGGCGGCGGCGAAGGAGCCAGAAGAGACUAUCACGGCAUCGUACACUCUGACAGCCCCACAGGCGUCGGCUGCUAAGCGUGAUAAUAAUGAUAAAGUUGUUGCCUCGUACACCAUCUCACCACCGCCGGUGGCGUCAACUGCCAAUGAUGUGACAUUCAAAGCGUCGAUACCCUCGCGUGAUGACGAGGCGCGCACCAGCGGCGAUGGCAAGGGUGGAGGCACAACAAUAUCGGCGACCAUCAAUGUGCCUAGUAGCAACAAAAAGACUGAUUUGGAGGAAGUAGUGAGAACAGCAUCACCGACUGUGAAGAGUAGUUUUAGAUUUGACAAAUUGGCGUCGGAGCGAAAGGCGAUGGAGGAGGCGGAACAGGCGGAGCAGCCGCCAGAGAGGACGCCGCGGUACAAGAGAUCCCUCUUUGAUAUGGACAAUGCCAGCUCGCUGUCGCUGGCGGAGAAGCUCCGCAAUGAGGCCAACAAAUACUCAGAGGCUAGUCGUGCCACUGUCAUCUCGGGCCCCGGACAGUCGGCUGAGGUGACGGAGAGCAAAGGUGAUCCACCACCACAGCAGCCUGCCACUCCCGACAGGCGUCCCUCGUGGCGACUCAAGGUUGACACUGGCAGCAAGUUCAAAUUGGAGGAAGUGACGAGUGAAACUCCAGUGACCACAACGGGAAGCAGUCCAACAGGCACAGUGGUGUCCAGUUUGAGUGUCCAGCGACGACCAAAUAGCAUUAUCAGUGGAUCAACUGCCACGACAACCACCACAGUGACCCUUAAUCCGAGGCCCGUGUCAGUGCCUCUGUUGCCCAGUUCAGCGGCUGUUCUCGAGACUCAGCAGAAUGAUCGAUCUCCGUCGAAGGGAGACGCAGAUUCGCUGGUGCGACGAUUCAAGAAUAGUGAUGAUAAAGAAAAUGAUAAAGAGAAUGAUAGUCGCACCACCGUUCAAGCAACUCAGGCGGUUAUUCAGCGAAGGAGGCGUCCCAAGAGGCGAUCCACAGGCGUCGUGCACGUUGACAUGGACGAAAUUGAUGCAGAGCGUCAAGAGUCACCAGUUGACGGUGAUGACAAAGAGUCUGGCAAUGAACAACCGUCCUCGCGAUCACGCCUUCAAUCAUCGAGCUCAGCUGAUAAGAGUGAGAGCAAAUCAGAAGCUGCGGAUGUUGAGGAGAACGGCGAGUUGAUUGAUUACAAAGCUCUCUAUGAAGCUUCCAGAGUCGAGAUAGAGCAAUUGAAAUCGCAGUUGCAGAAGAAGGAGGAAUCACUGCAAAGCACCAAAGCGGCUCUAGAAAGAUUCACAAAUGCUACAACCAAAAAUUCACUGUCUGAACUGGAUAAGCGCGAGCGACGAGCGAUGGAGAGAAAAUUGUCGGAAAUGGAGGAGGAAUUGAAGCUUCUGCAAAAAUUCAAGACUGAGAAUGAACGUCUUCGUGCCGAGAAUCGAGCACUGACUCGAGUUGUGUCGAAACUAACAACUUCUGCUCAAAAUCAACUUCAUGGAAAAUGAAUUUAAAUGAAACAAAUCCUCUAAAAAUGAUUUUUAAAAACAGAAAAAUAUUUUACAAACUUAUGUUCUUCCUAAAUGCGUGAAAAAGAAGUGUGACAAAUUAAGAGUUUUUCUGACCUUUUUUGGAAAAGCAUUUUAUUUUCUCAAAAUUGAUCCUUUUGAAAGAGCAAUUUCGCUAGAAUUCGUCUAAAUUUCAUAUUAUUAUUCGUGGAAAAAUGUCUUUAUUUUGACACACUUGAGAUAAAAGAAAGCGAUUCGUAAUCAGAGGAAAAUCAGAUUUGAAAAUUGGUCCAUCAUCAACACAUCGUCGUCUUCUCUCGCAUGAUAAACAAAUUCAAACGAAAUUUGGGGCAACAAGAGUGCAUCAAGACGGAAAAUCAACGGCUCAAGGAUGAAAAUGGGGCCCUUAUUCGUGUGAUUAGUAAAUUAAGUAAAUAAGGGAAGUUUUUAAUUGAAUUCUUAUAUUAGCUUACAUACAAUAAAUCCCUCAAGUGGACAACUCCAGUUUUACAGUUACAAAAAAGAGAAAACUUUUACGCGAUAUACAUAAAUGCGAGAUGUGGUGGAAAGGAGGAAAUUUAAAAAUAGCUAAUCAAAGUGUUAAGGCCUUUUUCCCUCAAUCUUAACUCAACUAUUGGCGUCGUAAAGUUCAAGUGUCUAAAAAGAAAGUAACUAUGUAAUUUUUUAACAAUAACAAUUUUACAGUAAUAUAUAGUCGUAUUUGAUAUUUAAAUAAUAAUUAUAUGUAUUUAAAACAAAGUGAAAAUGGAGAAAUUUUAUCGAUUACAUCUUGCAAAAAUGUUCAAGGAUGAUUUAGUGGAAUUGAAGAGAGUUUUUCGAGGAUUUUUGUGUCUUUUAUAUACAAUAAAAUAUGUAAUUUGCAUAAUGUGAGAAAUGAUAAAGGGAUAACGAAAGAUUAAUCAAUAAUUUCUAUACCUUUUUUCUUCUUUCUUUUUUUUCUUAAAUAUAAUUGUGAAAUGGAAGUUAGAGAGUAAUUUUAAUUGUUGCAUAAAUAAAAACAAAUUGCGUAAAACGGGAAGAAAACAGUCAAUUAGCAAUUACGAGUUCAGUGAGAAUUUUCAGUUGAAACAAUUUUUGUAAUAAGCAAAGAAUACUUCUUAAGCUGAGACGAUAAUUAAUAUAUGUAGUAGUGUAUUUUAGCUGAAAGAAAUGUGAGAAAGAAUUAAUCAAAAUGAUAUUUUUACACGAUAAAGAAAUUAAAUUAUGAGGAUUUUCUGUGCGCUCGCAAAUUUGAAGAAAAAAAAACAAGAAAAUGAUUUUCUGUGAGUGGAUGGAAAACAAAGAGAAAUAUUUUUGCUAAAACACUAAAAGAAGAAAAAGCGUCCAAAAUUUGUAAUGCCUCUAUUUUAGCCUCAAAAUUGUCGUAAUCUUUGUCGAUCUCGAAUGUUUUUUUCUUUUAUUUUAUUUUGUUUAGCAAUUCCAAGAAAGCAAAAAGUUGUUAAUUUUUCAACUGGGAGGAAAAUAAAUUGCAAACAGGCAGAAAAAGGAGAGGUGUUAUUUAGUAGUUGUAUUUUACUCAUUUAUACUCUAUUUUAUAGGUUUUCUUCAAUUUAAGAGUAUUAGCCAUUUAUUUAUUUUCUUUUCUCACUUGUAUUAAAGAAGAAGUUGAUAAAUGCAAGAUGGAGAGAUGUCGUAGGAAAAAAAACUUGAUGAACAAAACCACUUUAAUAAUACAAAUGCAUUGUAAUAAUUUUUAAAUUAAUAAAUUUCUCGUCUGAAAA